CGGAGAGUUUGAUCCUGGCUCAGGACGAACGCUGGCGGCGUGCCUAAUACAUGCAAGUCGAACGAACUCUGGUAUUGAUUGGUGCUUGCAUCAUGAUUUACAUUUGAGUGAGUGGCGAACUGGUGAGUAACACGUGGGAAACCUGCCCAGAAGCGGGGGAUAACACCUGGAAACAGAUGCUAAUACCGCAUAACAACUUGGACCGCAUGGUCCGAGUUUGAAAGAUGGCUUCGGCUAUCACUUUUGGAUGGUCCCGCGGCGUAUUAGCUAGAUGGUGGGGUAACGGCUCACCAUGGCAAUGAUACGUAGCCGACCUGAGAGGGUAAUCGGCCACAUUGGGACUGAGACACGGCCCAAACUCCUACGGGAGGCAGCAGUAGGGAAUCUUCCACAAUGGACGAAAGUCUGAUGGAGCAACGCCGCGUGAGUGAAGAAGGGUUUCGGCUCGUAAAACUCUGUUGUUGAAGAAGAACAUAUCUGAGAGUAACUGUUCAGGUAUUGACGGUAUUUAACCAGAAAGCCACGGCUAAAUACGUGCCAGCAGCCGCGGUAAUACGUAUGUUCCAAGCGUUAUCCAGAUUUAUUGGGCGUAAAGCGAGCGCAGACGGUUAUUUAAGUCUGAAGUGAAAGCCCUCAGCUCAACUGAGGAAUUGCUUUGGAAACUGGAUGACUUGAGUGCAGUAGAGGAAAGUGGAACUCCAUGUGUAGCGGUGAAAUGCGUAGAUAUAUGGAAGAACACCAGUGGCGAAGGCGGCUUUCUGGACUGUAACUGACGUUGAGGCUCGAAAGUGUGGGUAGCAAACAGGAUUAGAUACCCUGGUAGUCCACACCGUAAACGAUGAGUGCUAGGUGUUUGA
rnacentral:rRNA from 1 species